ensembl:snoRNA SNORD16 Small nucleolar RNA SNORD16
UGCCAUGAUGGUGUAAUUUGCGUCUGAGCCUGUGAACAGUGACAGUUGCCUGCUGUCUCUUAACUGUCACAGAGUACUGAUGUGUGUUUAAAUCUGAGCA